rnacentral:rRNA from 1 species
UACGUAGGUGGCAAGCGUUGUCCGGAAUUAUUGGGCGUAAAGAGCGCGUAGGCGGUCCGGUAAGUCGGUUGUGAAAGUCGGGGGCUCAACCCUCGGAUGCCGAUCGAUACUGUCGGGCUAGAGUCCGGAAGAGGCGAGUGGAAUUCCUGGUGUAGCGGUGAAAUGCGCAGAUAUCAGGAGGAACACCAAUGGCGAAGGCAGCUCGCUGGGACGGUACUGACGCUGAGGCGCGAAAGCGUGGGGAGCAAACAGG